AUGAACGCUAGCGACAGGCUUAACACAUGCAAGUCGAGGGGCAGCGGGGAGUAGCAAUACUUCGCCGGCGACCGGCGCACGGGUGAGUAACACGUGUGCAACCAACCCCGUACCGGGAGAUAACCCGCGGAAACGUGGACUAACAUCCCAUAACACUGUAUCAUCGCAUGGUGAUGCAUUUAAAAUUCCGGUGGUACGGGACGGGCACGCGCGACAUUAGGUAGUUGGCGGGGUAACGGCCCACCAAGCCGACGAUGUCUAGGGGUUCUGAGAGGAAGGUCCCCCACACUGGAACUGAGACACGGUCCAGACUCCUACGGGAGGCAGCAGUGAGGAAUAUUGGUCAAUGGGCGAGAGCCUGAACCAGCCAAGUCGCGUGAGGGAAGAAUGGUCUAUGGCCUGUAAACCUCUUUUGCCAGGGAAGAAUAAAUUGCACGCGUGCGAUCUUGCCAGUACCUGACGAAUAAGCAUCGGCUAACUCCGUGCCAGCAGCCGCGGUAAUACGGGGGAUGCGAGCGUUAUCCGGAUUUAUUGGGUUUAAAGGGCGCGUAGGCGGGACGCCAAGUCAGCGGUAAAAGACUGCAGCUAAACUGUAGCACGCCGUUGAAACUGGCGACCUCGAGACGAGACGAGGGAGGCGGAACAAGUGAAGUAGCGGUGAAAUGCUUAGAUAUCACUUGGAACCCCGAUAGCGAAGGCAGCUUCCCAGGCUCGAUCUGACGCUGAUGCGCGAGAGCGUGGGUAGCGAACAGGAUUAGAUACCCUGGUAGUCCACGCCGUAAACGAUGAGUGCUAGGUGUUAUGCCCUUUCCGGGGCUUAGUGCCGGAGCUAACGCAAUAAGCACUCCGCCUGGGGAGUACGACCGCAAGGUUGAAACUCAAAGGAAUUGACGGGGGCCCGCACAAGCGGUGGAGCAUGUGGUUUAAUUCGAAGCAACGCGAAGAACCUUACCAGGUCUUGACAUCGAUCUAAAAGGGAUGGAGACAUCCUCAUAGCUAUAGAGAAGACAGGUGGUGCAUGGUUGUCGUCAGCUCGUGCCGUGAGGUGUCGGGUUAAGUCCCAUAACGAGCGCAACCCCUAUCGCCAGUUGCCAGCGGCUGAGGCCGGGCACUCUGUCGAGACUGCCACCGUAAGGUGCGAGGAAGGCGGGGAUGACGUCAAAUCAGCACGGCCCUUACACCCGGGGCGACACACGUGUUACAAUGGCCGGUACAGAGGGCAGCCACGGGGUGACCCGGAGCGAAUCUCUAAAGCCGGUCGUAGUUCGGACUGGAGUCUGCAACCCGACUCCACGAAGUUGGAUUCGCUAGUAAUCGCGCAUCAGCCAUGGCGCGGUGAAUACGUUCCCGGGCCUUGUACACACCGCCCGUCAAGCCAUGGAAGCCGGGAGUACCUGAAGAUCGUGACCGCGAGGAACGGGCUAGGGUAAUACCGGUAACUGGGGCU
rnacentral:rRNA from 1 species